CGGCGUCUCCCCUGCCUAUCGGCGGCGGCCCGGGGCGUGUGCCGGAAUGCGGGCGGGGCGGGCGGUGUGGUGAGGCCCAGCCCCCUCCGCCGCCCGGCUGCCGCGCGGCGCUGCCCGGCCGCCACCCGCCGUGGGCCGGAGAUUAAAACCGAAGGAGCGCUGGCAAAGAACGGACAUGCUUGGCACUUGUCUACAGUCGCUUGUGUUGCGCUACGUUAUUUACCCGAAAAGGAGAGACUGAGACUGUGUUAUUUGGAUCCUUGACUUCUUCUCGGGUUAUGAUAUAACCGUAAUAAUAAAGCAGAAACUGUGGAAAUUGCACCUGGGAACUGAGCAUGGUAGGAUCUUGAAGAAAAGUAGCUGCUAUUGACCAAAAACAGGAAGGGAAGGAAUGGCAUCCCGAGAGAGGCUGUAUGAGCUUUGGAUGCUUUACUGCAGUAAGAAAGAUCCAGAUUACCUGAAGCUCUGGUUGGACAGUUUUGUUUCUAGCUAUGAACAGUUUCUGGAUGUGGACUUUGAGAAGCUGCCGACUAGAGUGGAUGACAUUCCUCCAGGAAUAUCACUGCUUCCCGAUAACAUUCUUCAGGUCGUCAGGCUCCAGCUGCUGCAGUGUGUCCAGAAAAUGUCAGAUGGACUAGAAGAGCAGCAGCAGGCUCUGUCGCUUUUACUUGUGAAAUUCUUUAUCAUCCUUUGCAGAAAUUUGGCUAAUGUGGAGGAGAUCGGGAUGUGUUCAUACGUUAACCAUGUUAUCACCAUGACUACGUUAUACAUUCAACAGUUAAAAAGCAAAACAAAAGAAAAAGAAGUGGCAGAUCAGACUCCUAUAGAAGAAUUUGUGAGACAUGCAUUGGCUUUUUGUGAAAGUCUCUACGAUCCAUAUCGAAACUGGAGGCAGCGAAUUGCAGGACGCUUCCUUGGUACAGUUGAAAAGAGCAGACAGAAGUAUAAACCAGCUUCCCUCACUGUUGAGUUUGUCCCUUUCUUUUACCAAUGCUUUCAAGAAAGUGAACAUCUCAAGGAAAGCCUAAAAUGUUGUCUGCUACAUCUCUUUGGAGCUAUUGUGGCUGGUGGUCAGAGGAACGCUCUUCAAGCAGUAUCUCCUGCCACCAUGGAGGUAUUGAUGCGUGUUCUGGCCGACUGUGACAACUGGGAUGACAGGAGCCCCGAGGAGGUGAGCAGGAAGGCAGAGCUGACUCUAAAGUGCCUCACAGAAGUUGUCCAUAUCCUCCUGACCAGCAGUUCUGACCAGCGGCAAGUGGAGACAAGCACAAUAUUGGAGAACUAUUUCAAGUUGCUUAAUUCAGACCAUUCAGCUUUACCUAAUUCCAGGCGAUGCAGGCAGUGGGAAAGCAGGUUCAUAGCACUGCAGAUCCAAAUGCUGAAUACCAUCACAGCCAUGUUAGACUGCACAGAUAGGCCUGUUCUGCAGGCGAUUUUCCUUAACAGUAACUGCUUUGAGCAUCUCAUUCGACUGUUGCAGAACUGCAAGCUGUUUUUAAAUGCUAACAAUAAAGUGGCAGACAAGAGUGAGAAAGACCUUGCCAACAAAUUACUGACAGAAAUGAAUGAGGACCAGGUGUUUCAGGGUCACCUAGACCGCUUGGCAGUGUCAACCAUUCAAGCCCUCACUGCAGUCAUGCACAAGUCUCCAGCUGCUAAGGAGGUCUUCAAGGAGAGGAUUGGUUAUGCACACAUAUAUGAGGUACUAAAAUCGCUGGGUCAGCCCUCACGAGAAUUGCUGGAAGAACUCAUGAAUAUGGCUGUUGAAGGUGACCACAUGGCUGUUGGGAUGCUUGGCAUUAGUAACGUCCAGCCCUUAUUGCUGCUUAUCCAGUGGCUUCCAGAACUAGAAUCACACGACCUGCAGAUUUUCAUCUCAAAUUGGUUGAGGCUAAUCUGCUGUAUUAACAGACAGAGUCGCGCCACGUGUGUCAAUGCGAACAUGGUCAUCCGGAUCAUUGAGACGCUAAAUUGCCACUCAGCGCUCCAUUGUACGUGUGCAGAGAACUUGAUUGCCCUUCUGGGCUCUUUGGGGAGCCAGUCAAUGGGCUCAGAAGAACUGCUUCAACUUGUACGGCUCCUGAGGACUGAGGAACCGAAACAGGCUCACCCUUAUGUUGUUCCAACCAUGCGAGCCAUUCUGGCGAUGGCGCGGAAGCAGGGCAUGGCCAGUGCCUUGCAGUAUUUCAACCUGAACCACAGCAUGGCCGGAAUUGCUGUUCCAUCAAUUCAUAAGUGGCCAGGCUCUGCGUUUUCUUUCAACGCUUGGCUCUGCCUUGACCAGGACCGGGUGGACCCCAGCAUGACCAGCAAAAGUGGCAAGAGGAAGCAACUCUAUAGCUUUUUCACAGGAAGUGGCAUGGGGUUUGAAGCAUUUAUUACGUGCUCUGGGGUACUGGUGGUUGCAGUUUGCACGAAGAGGGAAUAUGCAACAGUGAUGCUGCCUGACCAUUGUUUUCUUGACUCUCUCUGGCACAACGUAACUAUUGUUCACAUGCCUGGCAAGAGGCCCUUUGGUCAGAGCCUCGUGUACAUCUACGUCAACGGGCAGCAGAAGGUCUCUGCCCCACUUCGAUUCCCUGCCAUGAAUGAAUCUUUCACGUCUUGCUGCAUUGGUUCUGCUGGCCAAAGAACAACUACUCCUCCUCCAUCUCAGAUACCAGAUCCACCUUUUUCCUCCCCUGUGCUGCCCCAUCGGACGUCGCUCGGGGGCAUCCUCUCUGCCGGGAGUUGGGGCGGGAUGCUUGGAAAACCAGAGCUCAUCACCAAGAUGAUCUCAGCAGGGACUCAGGACAGUGAAUGGGGAUGUCCAACAUCUUUGGAGGGCCACCUUGGGUCAGUGAUCAUCUUUCAUGAAGCACUGCAGCCUCCUCAGGUGAAAGCAUUGUAUUUAGCAGGUCCAAACUGUUUAACUCCGUGGAAGUCUCAAGAGGCUGAAGUAGCAGAUCUCCCCAGUAAGGUGCUUCUUCAUUAUACACCAAAGGCCUGCAGAAACCAAAUUUGUCUUGACCUGUCUGCAAAUCUUUUACAUGGAAGACUAACUGGAAACAAAGUAGUAAACUGGGACAUCAAGGAUAUGAUCAACUGUAUUGGUGGCAUAAACGUGCUGUUUCCACUGCUGGAGCAGAUCAGUUUUCUUGGUGGGCCGAUACCUGAGAAGUCUGAAGGGGAAACUCUCCCUCCGGAACUCCUUACUCCUGUAGAGGGAGACUGGGUGGUGAUGCCAUCCACAAAGGCGUCAGAAGCUCGCCUGGAGGAGAACGUUGUUGCAACUUUCAUCUUGAUGAUAAAACACUUUAUUCAGAGACACCAUGUCAAUCAAGAAAAUCUCAUCCACUCCCAUGGAGUUGCCACCCUAGGAGCCUUGUUACAGAAGGUGCCAAGCAACUUAAUGGAUGUGAAUGUACUGAUGGCUGUGCAGCUGCUGAUAGAACAAGUUUCAGUAGAAAAGAACACGCAGCUUUUGCAGCAGAUGUAUCAACACUUGCUUUUUGACUUCAGUAUCUGGAACAGCGGGGACUUCCCCUUCAGAAUUGGGCAUAUACAGUAUCUUUCUACCAUUAUCAAAGACAGUAGAAGAGUCUUCAGGAAGAAAUAUGGUGUGCAGUUUCUUCUAGACACACUCAGGAUUUAUUAUGGCAGUGGCUGUAAAGACAGUGAUUUGGCUCCUGACGACCUGAGAACAAUACGGACAUCCCUCUAUGGACUGAUCAGGUAUUUCCUGAGCAAAGGUGGAACACAUGAAGAAAUACAGAGCAUCGUAGGAUACAUAGCUGCCACCACUGAAGAGGAGCAGCUCUAUGGAAUUCUGGAUGUUCUCUUCAGCCUACUUCAUUCCAGCCCAGCCCCAGACCAGCUUUUUUUACUGCUCUUUGAACCAGGGAAUGCUGAUAUUCUCUACGCUCUGUUAUUGCACCAAAGAUACUCUGACAGACUUAGAGAACUUGUUUUCAAGAUUGUGGAAGAGAUGCUGAAAUGCACUAAGGUUUAUGAACGUAGUAAGCACAGAAUGAGACUCAGGGAGGUGGGGUACUCUGGACUGGGGCUCCUUCUGAAUGAAUCUGCACUUACUGUUUCUCUUAUCAAAAACCUUCUUAACCAAGUUCUGUAUGCAGAUCCUGCUGUGAAUUAUAAAGAUCUCCUAGCUGUAGUACAUCUGGCUCAUAGAUCAGAUAUAAACAUGAGAGUGGUCAUCUGCAGAAAGGUCUUGCACCUUUUGCAUUCCCAGUUGGAUGCAGCACAGCAGAUUUCUCAGCAGCUGGGCUGGCAGGACACUUUGAUUCGACUGUUCCUGAAAGAAAACUCAGUUGUCCAGAUUGGCUUGAAAGAGACCAGGGCUGAUUCCUCAAGGGAAGAGGAAAAAAAGCUUCCUGCUGAAGAGCUUCAGAAACAUCAACCUGAUAAGACAGAGGGAGACAAAACUGGCAGCUUUGCAUGUGUUAAUGGUCUGUUUGAUCAGUGGAGUUUAGAAGACACCAAAUCCCUGGAUGUCCCUGCUCAUUUCUCUGUCAUGCCACUGGAAGACGCGUCCACAGCAGAGAUGUCUUUUAGGCUGGAGGAGCGGGAGGAAUUGUGGCACAACAAUCCUUCACAUUUGAGCUUAGAUCUCUCCAGUGUUGACUCUUACGAACUGGCGGACGUUGCAAAUCGGCUGACAGACAGCCAGCCCAGCACACCCUCACCCAUAGAGAACACAAAGUCGUUCUCUGGGCAGCCCGACAAAGAGAUGGCUCUUUCAAAUGAUGUGGGCUUUGCCGCCGAUCUUUCUUUAUUUGAAAACCAAGGAGGGGGUGAUACUGAACUCAUACAGUUACUUACAGACAUCCUACUGUGUAUAAUGUGGAAAGGCAUUGAAAAAUCUGAUGCUGCUGCUUGGAUUGAGAGAGGGCAGGUGUUUUCUGCACUGACCAAACUGGGGAUGUCUAAUGAGUUGCUGCGACCUUCUGAUGAAAUAAAACUCAACUUACUGGAGAAGAUGUUAGAAUGGUCAGUCACUGACAACAGAGAUUCAAAAGCUCUCCCUGCACAUGCUGAAAAUGCCUUCAUGCUCUUGCUAAUUGUACAAGAUUUCCUGCAGGCAGAAGGACUAGUUAAUUCAAAUUUAUGGACAGAAAAGCUCUUGGAAGAACUAGUGACUCUCAUGGACAGCCUGUCCGUCUGGUACUCUGCUGGCCCAGAGGCAAACAGGCUUUCACAGGUACAAGUCCGGUUGCUCCUUGGAUUCAUUGCACAAGAUAACUUACAGGUCUGUGCUAUGGCAGCAGCCAAACUAAACACACUUCUUCAGACCAAAGUAGUUGAGAGCCAGCCCGAAGCGUGCUACAUCCUGGGGAAGCUGGAAGGCAUCUUGAGUAGAUCAAUUGAAAAGAAGACAGAAACUUACUCAUUUUUGAUUCCCCUUGUUCGGACAUUGGUAUCCAAGAUUUAUGAACUUCUUUUCAUGAACCUGCAUCUCCCUUCAUUGCCUCCUACCAAUGGCAGCCCAUCUUUCUUUGAGGAUUUUCAAGAAUACUGCAGCUCUGCUGAGUGGCAAGUGUAUAUUGGCAAAUAUAUUAUUCCAAAUAUGAAGCAAUAUGAAGAGAAUUCAUUCAGACAUGAUCACGAGCAGAUGACACUUUAUUGGAGGGAUUGUUAUGAAGCAUUUAUGGUGAACAUGCACAAGCGAGACCGGGAGAGAGGAGAAAGUAAGCUUAAAUUUCAGGAGCAUUUUGUGGAACCAUUCAGCAGAAAAGCUCGACAGGAAAAUCUGCGCUACAACAGUAUGUUAAAGCAACUUCAUGGUCAACACACAGCUACUCUGAGACAGUGGAGAGCAGCCCAGCUCUACCUCCUCUCUGAACGUGGCCCUUGGGCUGAGAUGGAACAGCGUCCUAUUCACUGGAAACUUUCAAAUGUGGAAAAUUUUUCACGUAUGAGACUAAAACUGGUGCAGAAUUACAACUUCAACUCUCAUCAGGAUGCUAGUGACCUGAGAGAUAAUUUAGGUGUGCACCAGACACAGCCUUCUAGUGACUCUCUGCUGCUGGAGGUGGUGAAGCAGGUGAAAGUGAGUGACUUGGAAGAUGAUAUUCUUGAACUACCAGAAGAAGACACUGCAGCCAGUUCCAAUUUGGAUGAGAAGGAUGAGCAAAGUCAGAAAGAAAAGUUGAUAUUGUCUGAAGACUGUGAACUCGUUACAGUAAUUGAUGUGAUACCUGGCAGGCUGGAGAUCACUACCCAGCACAUCUAUUUCUUUGACAGCAGCAUUGAAAAAGAGGAAGGAGUAGGUUUUGAUUUCAAAUGGCACCUUUCUCAAAUUCGAGAGAUCCAUUUGCGUCGGUACAACCUGAGGAGGUCAGCUUUGGAGAUCUUCCUGACCGACCAAACCAACUAUUUCCUCAACUUCAAUAAGGAGGUACGAAACAAAGUAUAUAGUCGAAUAUUGUCACUGCGUUCUCCAAAUAUUUCUGGGACAAGAUCUCCGCAGGAACUUUUUAAAGCUUCAGGUUUGAUGCAGAAAUGGGUGAAUAGAGAAAUAUCCAACUUUGACUACCUUAUUCAGCUGAACACAAUGGCAGGACGAACUUACAAUGACCUUGCUCAAUAUCCUGUGUUCCCUUGGAUUUUACGAGAUUAUACUUCAGAAGAACUGGACCUGAACAAUCCUGCAGUCUUUAGAGAUCUGUCCAAACCCAUAGGGGUAGUAAAUGAAAAGAAUGCCAAGGCUGUGAAAGAGAAAUAUGAGAAUUUUGAGGAUCCCCUGGGGAUGAUUGACAAAUUUCACUAUGGGACACACUACUCAAAUGCUGCUGGUGUCAUGCAUUACCUCAUUCGAGUAGAACCUUUCACAACACUUCAUAUCCAGCUUCAAAGUGGCAGGUUUGACUGUGCUGACAGGCAGUUCCACUCUAUUCCUGCUACAUGGCAGGCGCUCAUGGACAACCCCAAUGAUGUCAAGGAACUUAUCCCAGAGUUCUUCUACUUCCCAGAGUUCCUGGAGAAUCAAAAUGGUUUUAACUUAGGUCAGCUUCAAAUAUCCAAAGAGGUGGUAAAUGAUGUUGUUCUCCCCAAAUGGGCCCACUCCCCAGAAGACUUCAUUUAUAAACACAGGAAGGCUCUGGAAUCUGAGUAUGUUUCCGCUCAUCUUCAUGAAUGGAUAGAUCUGAUUUUUGGCUACAAGCAGAGGGGACCAGCUGCAGUGGAGGCACUCAAUGUGUUCUAUUAUUGUACUUAUGAAGGUGCUGUGGAUUUGGAUGCUUUAACAGAUGAGAAAGAAAGGAAAGCUUUAGAAGGGAUGAUAAACAAUUUUGGGCAAACUCCAUGUCAGCUGUUAAAGGAGCCCCAUCCACAGAGGCUGUCAGCAGAAGAGGUAGUGCAAAGACUGACUAAAAGUGACACCUCCACUCUGAAUCUCUUUCAGCACCUCACUGAACUGAAGUCAUUCUUCAUCGAGGGAAUCAGUGAUGGUGUGCCCAUCAUCAAAGCUGUCGUCCCCAGGAAUCAGGCACGUUCCUUUAUUUCUCAGGGAAGCCCAGAGAUCUUGGUAACAGCAAGUCUGAACUGUGUUAUUGGAAUUCAUGGUUGGCUGCCUUAUGAUAAAAAUAUCUCCAACUAUUUUACAUUCAUCAGAGAUACCACAGUGACAAAUCCCAAAACCCAACGCAGUGUGAGUGGUCCCUUUGCACCGGGGCUGGAGAUCACCUCCAAGUUGUUUGCAGUGUCCCAUGAUGCAAAGCUGCUCUUCAGUGGAGGACACUGGGACAACAGCAUCAGAGUGACAUCUCUUACGAAAGGCAAGCUGGUUGGACAGCACAUCAGGCACAUGGAUAUUGUGACCUGCUUGGCAAUAGACUACUGUGGAAUUCAUUUAAUUUCAGGCUCCAGAGACACUACCUGCAUGAUAUGGCAAAUAGUUCAUCAGCUGCAAGAGAAUGUGUCAUUGCACUUUUUGUUACUCUCAGGGAGGAGUGCCUGUAGGUCUAGCACCUAAGCCGUUACAGAUCCUUUACGGGCAUACUGAUGAAGUUUCGAGUGUUGGCAUCAGCACUGAGCUGGAUAUGGCAGUGUCAGGAUCUAGGGAUGGAACUGUUAUUGUCCACACUAUUCGGAAAGGUCAGUACGUGAGGACUUUGCGACCACCUUGUGAGAGUUCUCUCCUGCUGACUGUUCCCAAUCUGGCUGUGUCCUGGGAAGGCCACAUAGUAGUCCACACCAGCAUAGAAGGAAAGACUACUCUUAAGGAUAAGAAUGCAUUACAUCUCUAUUCUGUCAAUGGAAAAUAUUUGGGUUCUGAGACUCUGAAGGAGGAAGUGUCAGAUAUGUGUGUGACUGGCGAGUACAUAGUGAUGGGCAGCUUACAGGGAUUUCUUUCCAUACGGGAUCUCUACAGCCUGAGCCUGAGCAUCUCCCCCUUAGCCAUGCGACUGCCAAUUCACUGCAUUUCUGUCACCAAAGAGUACAGCCACAUCCUUGUUGGCUUGGAGGACGGCAAGUUGAUUAUCGUCGGUGUUGGCAAACCCGCAGAGAUGCGCUCAGGUCAGCUUUCCCGAAAGCUGUGGGGAUCAAGCAAACGGCUCAGCCAGAUUUCAUCAGGAGAGACUGAAUAUAACACUCAAGAUUCCAAGUGAUUGCUGCUACCUUCUCUUGUGGAUUCCAGAAACAUGUCUAAUCUUUUGGUCACUUUAAAUGUGUAUCUCAACUUUCAGGGGCUUGAUUCUUAAAUCUGUUGAAGAUGAACCAAUGGUAGAGGUACAGUAAUAAGCAUUUGUACUCAUGCAAGUUAGCUUGCUUGCAUAUUUUUCCUUAAUGGUGUUGACUUGCUCACAGCACAAUCCCUCUCUAAAUAGCUGCUAUAACUGUGUUUCAGAAAAAAAAAUG